GUUUAACUUUUGUAUUAUUUGACUAUUCUUUGAUUUCAGUGAAAGAGACCAAGCAAGAGUUCUGUUAUGCACUGAAGAUGGCAUACAUAUUUUAAAGCCCUUGUUUUUACAUUCAUAUAUUUCUGUCCAGAAUGACAAAAUCCCCAAAAAGAUGAUAAUGAAAAAUGACAACGGGAAGAAGGGGAGUAACAAAUCAUCAUUUAGUGAUGAAGACAAAGAAGAAGCAAUAAAACGGGCCCUGCUAGAACAGCACCAUCUUGAAAACUACAAGAAUCUAUACAGGCUGAGAAAUGCCAUGUAUGUGCGUUACAGGGAUUUGUUGAACAAGAAAGUUCAAAAGCAACGAAUUCAGAUCCAAAUGUCUGAUCUCAACUUCAAGCAAAAUCUUGAACAGCAAGGGAGAAAAAAGUGUAUCCCUGGACAUCAAGUGCCCUACUGCAAAUUGUCUCAGGAUGCUAAGUACCUCAAGUCUAUUCCACAGUCCAGUCAUUACCUGAUUAUAGGAUUGCAGAAUGAGUUAACUAGACAAGGAAUCUUAAAGAACAAGCAAGAUUAUGAAGACUUUUGGACACUGAUCCUAGAGGGCACUCACGGUUCACGGCUUAAAGAAAAACUUCAGGAUAUAAAAUUAAAAAUGGCUGCAGCCAAGUCUUUUCCUUCACAUCCUGUUGUGAGAACCAGUGCAGCACAGUCAGCAAAUGUCCUUCUGAGCAACCGAUGUGGACAGCUGAAAAUGAGCUCAGCUUCUCUACCAGGAUCAGUGUCCUGCCAGCCUCCAGUUCAUCAUCCAAGUAAACACACAAAGGCCGAAGAAGAAACUGAGCAAUUUCCUAAGAACAAACCUUGCAAAAGGACUAGGAAGCAUUUCCACCAUGAACGACAUCUGAUUUACUUGCAUCAUAUGUAUCAUCUCGCCCUUCUUAAUAUGACAUCUUCCAAGAGACUGCUGGAGAAAAAUGGUCAGUUCGCAGUUGCUGAAAAAGAGCACAGUGUCCAUGAUCUGAUGGAAUACUUGUUUCCAAGUCAUCAGAAACAACCUGGAAGUAGCUCCACUGAAAGAGGGAUAGAGGAAAGCACAUUUCCCAUUUUGCUAGAUAGGAAACAGCAUGAGCAAUGUCACAGGGGCUUCUCCAAAGCACACAUCAUUUUUAAAGAAAUGAAAAACCAUUCAAAGGAGAAACAUGAAAAUAAAGGAGCUGUUGAAAUUUUGGAGGAUCUGAAAUACAGUAACAGCGCCUUUGCCCCACAUGAAAGGAUCCCUGUGCCUCUUACUAUGGAAGAUGUGGUUCUGAACAAUCCAGUUGUGGAACCUAAGUCAACAGUUACCUACUGGACUAAUUAUGUGGACAAAGAAGAAUCCAUUUUCUAAAGAGGAAAAGGAUUACUAAAAUACAGAAACACAACAGCAAUGAAAUUGCAGCUUUAUGUAGAUCUUUACACUGUAUCCCACACAUACUGUAUUGUACCUAUAUUAUGAAAUCACUGUACUGAAUGUAAUUGAACUUUCUACAGGCCAAAAUCUUGGUCUCAUUGAAGACAAUCUGAAUGUUGUCAUUCACUUUAAUUAGAACAGGAUUUGGCUCUACAGCAGUGCUACUAUGGAAUGGUUCAAAACAGAUAAAUGUCUUGUGAAAAUAGAUAAUUUACUGUACAAUUUGGUUGAGUUCCUAAUCUUUAACUGAUCUACAGUAUUAAUUGUUAGAACAUACAUCAAUGAACUAGUGGAUGUUUUUGUAGUUGCAGGUUAUCCUGAUGUGAUGAAAAACAAUUUUUCAUUGAGCUCUUGCAGGCUGAGCAACGAAAUCAAAGGAGAGAGUUUUAACAAUAGUAGAGAAGUCUAGUUUAAGAUAAACAAUGACUUAGAUGCAAGACACGCUUUCACUUAAUCAAAGGCGGCAGACAGACUACUUAUGGGCAUUUGGUCAGAAAUUCACUUAAUUCAUAGUUCUUUAAUCUAAAAAUCUACCUGUAAAUCUAUAGUGUAAGCAUCUAAGCAUUCACUAUAAAAUUAAAUAUGCUCACUUUCAGAUGUUUGUUUUUUAAUGGAUACAAGAAGCUUGUGUGUGUCAUGCUGUGGGAGACUUUGCACUUCAUAUACAAGUGGGCUCAUCAGCCAUUUUGCAAACCAAACACAUCACUGGCUCUUGGGGCAGCGGAGGACACUUAGCACUGUGAGAGGAGAAACCAACUCAGCAGGGGAGAGAGAGCAGACUUGAAAAAACACCAAGAGAAAGUGAAAUAAAGGUUCUCUACUGAAAGACUGCA
rnacentral:lncRNA from 1 species